AUAAUAAUAUUUUUUAGUUUAAUUUUUUUCAGAUGAAAACAAUGUGUAUUCUGAUAGCUCAUAAUAUCAAUUAUACGAAGGUUGAAUGAUCACCAUUUAUUAAGGCCAAGGGAACGAAGAUGACGAAGGACAAAAGCGACCAAAGGAAGGUUCAGAACGAGCUUGCGCUGUGUGACCGACACGUAUAAAUAAAGAGUUGGAUAGCUGCGAGGUUGCCAGAUUUCAGUAAUAUUGAUCGACAAAGUCGACGCGGUCGCCAACUGGGGUCACGAAAAGAAACAUGGCAACAUUGUCCCGUUGCCAGCUGAUCGAGCUCUCGUUAGGUUUGCUCAACGGUCGACCGUAUCUCUAUUUCUUCAAGUUUGUAUGAAUUUUUGUCAUUAUGUAUGUCAUUUUUGUAUGAAUCUCCCUUUAUUUUCCUCUUGUAAUUAACAAAAACAUUUAUUGUCUUUAUUAUUUUUUAUUUAUUUAUCAUCAUUUUUUAAAGUUUUUUCUUUUUUUUUCUUUUUUAUUAUGUCCAAUGAAUUCUGUUUUUGUAUAAAUAUAAGAAAAAUGCUUUCUUCUAUUUUAUAACUACACACGUGAUGUUAUGAUAUGUAAUGAUAUUAUGCAAUAAAGAAAAUUUCAUUGCGCUAAA
rnacentral:lncRNA from 1 species